rnacentral:rRNA from 1 species
UAGCGGAGGAAAAGAAACCAACUGGGAUUACCUUAGUAACGGCGAGUGAAGCGGUAAAAGCUCAAAUUUGAAAUCUGGUACUUUCAGUGCCCGAGUUGUAAUUUGUAGAAUUUGUCUUUGAUUAGGUCCUUGUCUAUGUUCCUUGGAACAGGACGUCAUAGAGGGUGAGAAUCCCGUUUGGCGAGGAUACCUUUUCUCUGUAAGACUUUUUCGAAGAGUCGAGUUGUUUGGGAAUGCAGCUCAAAGUGGGUGGUAAAUUCCAUCUAAAGCUAAAUAUUGGCGAGAGACCGAUAGCGAACAAGUACAGUGAUGGAAAGAUGAAAAGAACUUUGAAAAGAGAGUGAAAAAGUACGUGAAAUUGUUGAAAGGGAAGGGCAUUUGAUCAGACAUGGUGUUUUUUGCAUGCACUCGCCUCUCGUGGGCUUGGGCCUCUCAAAAAUUUCACUGGGCCAACAUCAAUUCUGGCAGCAGGAUAAAUCAUUAAGAAUGUAGCUACUUCGGUAGUGUUAUAGCUUUUUGGAAUACUGUUAGCCGGGAUUGAGGACUGCGCUUCGGCAAGGAUGUUGGCAUAAUGGUUAAAUGCCGCCCGUCUUAA